rnacentral:rRNA from 1 species
UCCUCCCUCUGGCGGCGUGCUUAACACGUGCAAGUCGAACGGAAAGGCCCUGCUUUUGUGGGGUGCUCGAGUGGCGAACGGGUGAGUAACACGUGAGUAACCUGCCCUUGACUUUGGGAUAACUUCAGGAAACUGGGGCUAAUACCGGAUAGGAGCUCCUGCUGCAUGGUGGGGGUUGGAAAGUUUCGGCGGUUGGGGAUGGACUCGCGGCUUAUCAGCUUGUUGGUGGGGUAGUGGCUUACCAAGGCUUUGACGGGUAGCCGGCCUGAGAGGGUGACCGGCCACAUUGGGACUGAGAUACGGCCCAGACUCCUACGGGAGGCAGCAGUGGGGAAUAUUGCACAAUGGGCGGAAGCCUGAUGCAGCAACGCCGCGUGCGGGAUGACGGCCUUCGGGUUGUAAACCGCUUUCGCCUGUGACGAAGCGUGAGUGACGGUAAUGGGUAAAGAAGCACCGGCUAACUACGUG